AUUGAACGCUGGCGGCAGGCCUAACACAUGCAAGUCGAGCGGAUGAAGGGAGCUUGCUCCUGGAUUCAGCGGCGGACGGGUGAGUAAUGCCUAGGAAUCUGCCUGGUAGUGGGGGAUAACGUCCGGAAACGCGCGCUAAUACCGCAUACGUCCUGAGGGAGAAAGUGGGGGAUCUUCGGACCUCACGCUAUCAGAUGAGCCUAGGUCGGAUUAGCUAGUUGGUGGGGUAAAGGCCUACCAAGGCGACGAUCCGUAACUGGUCUGAGAGGAUGAUCAGUCACACUGGAACUGAGACACGGUCCAGACUCCUACGGGAGGCAGCAGUGGGGAAUAUUGGACAAUGGGCGAAAGCCUGAUCCAGCCAUGCCGCGUGUGUGAAGAAGGUCUUCGGAUUGUAAAGCACUUUAAGUUGGGAGGAAGGGCAGUAAGUUAAUACCUUGCUGUUUUGACGUUACCAACAGAAUAAGCACCGGCUAACUUCGUG
rnacentral:rRNA from 1 species